rnacentral:rRNA from 1 species
GAUGAACGCUAGCUACAGGCUUAACACAUGCAAGUCGAGGGGUAACGAGAGGGAAACUUGCUUUCCUUGUCGACGACCGGCGCACGGGUGAGUAACGCGUAUCCAACCUGCCCCCAACUAGGGAAUAACCUUGCGAAAGUAAGACUAAUACCCUAUAAUUUCCUCAGAUGUCAUCUGACGAGGAAUAAAGAUUUAUCGGUCGUGGAUGGGGAUGCGUCUGAUUAGCUUGUUGGCGGGGUAACGGCCCACCAAGGCAACGAUCAGUAGGGGUUCUGAGAGGAAGGUCCCCAACAUUGGAACUGAGACACGGUCCAAACUCCUACGGGAGGCAGCAGUGAGGAAUAUUGGUCAAUGGGCGGAAGCCUGAACCAGCCAAGUAGCGUGCAGGAUGACGGCCCUAUGGGUUGUAAACUGCUUUUAUACAAGAAUAAAGUUAGCCACGUGUGGUUAUUUGUAGGUACUGUAUGAAUAAGGACCGGCUAAUUCCGUGCCAGCCGCCGCGGUAA